AUGGUUUGGCUCUGUGUCCCCACCCAAAUUGCCUUGAAUUGUAAUAAUCCCCACGUGUCGAGGGUAGGACCAGGUGGAAAUAAUUGGAUCAUGGUGGCAAUUUCCCACAUGCUGUUCUUAUGAUAGACAGUGAGCUC